ensembl:lncRNA
GGAGUUUUAAAAAGUCGGUGAUUCGAAACGCAGUUUACGUGUGGACGAAACAGCUGCGUUGUCAAAAAUACCCGUGUAGGUGCGGACGUAGCAUAAAAGAGUUAGUAGUUUAUUUUAUUACUACCUGUAAUUUAUUGCAGUUUACUUGUAUUUGCUUAAUUGUUUACUAAAUGUUUGAGGUGUGAAAUAAACUGCAAUGGAGCAAAAUAAGGGUGUGUGCGUGCGAGGGGGGGCGCGAACAUUUUUCUUGUAAAACAGGGGUGUCAAACUCAAAUACACAGUGGGCCAAAAUUCAAAACUGGAACAAAGUCGCGGGCUAACAUUAAUAUUUAUUGAAAAAAAAAAAAUCUUCCUCUAGAUAUAAGAAUGAAUCUUUUCUUAUGGACUCAAACAAGUUUUGCUGAAAAACUGAAUAUGGAGCAAGCAAAGCUUAAUACUAAACAAUAUAUAUAUUAGCUGUAUAAUACCAGUAGGCCAGCUCUAAUAGUAAUUUGGUAUGGCUUCGCGGGCCAAAUGUAAUUAGGCUGCGGGCCAAAUUUGGCCCGCGGGCCAGAGUUUGACACCUAUGUUGUAAAACAAAGGGGGGCCUAGCAAAAAAAAUUUGGGAACCACUGGCUUAGGGUAAGAUGACAGCCAGCAGCUUGUUAGCUUAGCCAGGCUUUUUCUUUUGUAUUCGUUUUUUUAUCCACCUGCUGCUCUAGCUCUAUGUUUAGCAAACAUUUACAACCCUGGAUUUACUUCAGAGCAUGGAAACUCACAUAUAUGUUGCAAAAAAAAAGGCAAUAAACAGUCUACGAAUUUAAAUCAGCUACAUUUAUGCUGGUUAUACUACAAAAAAGUGCAGAGCUACCCGCUGUGGUGACCCCUUGUGGCAAUGGAGCAGCCAAAACUUGCUUUUUAUAUACUAUUGAUUGAAGUCGUAUACAUAUUAUACAGAUUUUGGCUCAUGAGCAAGAAAAAAAAAACAUGAAUAUCAUCCAAGACAAAAACAUGAAUGUAAUACUGCUUUCACUUUCACGUGAUUUGAACACUACACAAGACUGGCAGCCAGCUGAGUUGACAAGAUGGUGCAUUAGCAUUGCCAAUAAGUAUGAAAUGGACGAGGGGGCGGUUGUUAGUCACCCACAGAUAUUUAAAGACAAGCAUCUGCAGUGUGCUCUUGUAUUAAAAGGUAUUUGUGUGCAGGCUGUGUGUUUCCUGUAUAUGAUGGAUUGACUAGUAAAUAUGUGAUGGUACAAAAAAAAAGAAGGAAAAUAAGGCCUUGAUUUAAAAAGAAAAGGAAGAUUUAUCUAUAACAGAUUGACUACUUUAACUCUGCUGUUUGAGACUUCUCAGACUUAACUGAGAAGUUAUACUGAGUCCCGUCCGUCUAGCUGAUCAGAAAAGCAUUUUUUAAUGCUUCAAAGUAAAAUGUAAGUCUUUCCAUCCUGAGAGCUGACCUAAGUGAAGCUGUGUUUGACGAGGGAUUGGCUGGUGUUGUGCUAGAGCAUGAUUGUACACAUUGAGGUGGAUACACCCUCUGAGCAUGUAUUCACAAGUGCACGUCAUGUGAGCGCUUUGGAAUUCAGGCAAUGUAGGGAAACAUUUUCUUCCACCAAUAAAAAGUUCUUGUGUUCUUCUACUGCAACUUUCAAUUUCGGCGUUUCGACUCCUAUCUUCUGUUUUCACACACCAGACAACUGAGUGUGUAAAUAAGUUCACUUACUAAAAUGUCUCGCUGACUGUUUGAGAUGUCUGAUGCGCCACGUGGUGAAAAUGUAUGCAUCUCUUUCUUUCUUUCUUUCUUUCUUUCUUUCUUUCUUUCUUUCUUUCUUUCUUUCUUUCUUUCUUUCUUUCUUUCUU